GUCUACGGCCAUACCACCCUGAACGCGCCCGAUCUCGUCUGAUCUCGGAAGCUAAGCAGGGUCGGGCCUGGUUAGUACUUGGAUGGGAGACCGCCUGGGGAAUCUCAGGUGCUGUAGGCU
rnacentral:rRNA from 1 species